UGAGCACAAUCUGGCUGAGACAUCUGUCACCCUUUGUUCGUCAGCGCUGAUUCCAGGGAUCUGACCGGGGAGGCAGAUGUCCGCUCCUUCCUAGGCUCCAU
rnacentral:sRNA from 1 species